rnacentral:rRNA from 1 species
ACGUAGGGUGCGAGCGUUAAUCGGAAUUACUGGGCGUAAAGCGAGUGCAGACGGUUAUUUAAGCCAGAUGUGAAAUCCCCGAGCUCAACUUGGGACGUGCAUUUGGAACUGGGUGACUAGAGUGUGUCAGAGGGAGGUAGAAUUCCACGUGUAGCAGUGAAAUGCGUAGAGAUGUGGAGGAAUACCGAUGGCGAAGGCAGCCUCCUGGGAUAACACUGACGUUCAUGCUCGAAAGCGUGGGGAGCAAACAG